rnacentral:tRNA from 1 species
GGUGGGAUGGCGGAGUCUGGCCCAACGCGCCGGUCUUGAAAACCGGUGGCCCUGUGCCUCCUGGGUUCGAAUCCCAGUCCCACCG